GCGCCGGGGCAGCAUUCCCAGCGCUGUUAGCCCUGAGGCGGCUGUGGAGAGGAGACGCCUCGCGUGUGGCAGCGGCGACGGCAGCAGCAGCAGCGCUGUUUCCAGGGGCGACGGGCGUGGACGCGGGACGUUGAAUCUGUGAAUGCCUAACCGUAGAUCUGGAAAGCUGACCAUAGAGAUUGCUGCCAGGUGUGAAGUGUCAUGGGAAGAAAAGAAAAAGAAUGAGGUAAGGAGGAUUGAGAAUUGGUGUCUGGUGGUUGCAAUUUUAAAUAUCUGGCUCAGGCUAAGUAUCAACGCUAAGUCACGUUCCUUGUGAGAGGAUAUUCUGGCUGCUGUUUCGACAAUGAACAGAGUAGAUGAUGGGCAGGGAGGCCCUGUAGUUUAGUAGGCCACUGAGGUAUAAUCGAGAUGCUGGAAGUAGCGCAGGCAGAGUUUUGCGGGUACUUUGGUGGAGUACUGGCCGCUAGACUGGGACACUGU